GUGAGGAAUUUUCCGCAAUGGGCGAAAGCCUGACGGAGCAAUGCCGCGUGAAGGAUGAAGGCCUAUGGGUUGUAAACUUCUUUUCUUAGAGAAGAAUAUUGACGGUAUCUGAGGAAUAAGCAUCGGCUAACUCUGUGCCAGCAGCCGCGGUAAGACAGAGGAUGCAAGCGUUAUCCGGUAUGAUUGGGCGUAAAGCGUCUGUAGGUGGCUUCAAAAGUCUCCUGUCAAAGAUCAGGGCUUGACCCUGGGCCGGCAGGAGAAACUCUGAGGCUAGAGUUUGGUAGGGGCAGAGGGAAUUCCCGGUGGAGCGGUGAAAUGCGUAGAGAUCGGGAGGAACACCAAAGGCGAAAGCACUCUGCUGGGCCACAACUGACACUGAGAGACGAAAGCGAGGGGAGCAAAAGGGAUUAGAAACCCCUGUAGUCC
rnacentral:rRNA from 1 species